UGGAUGUUCCCCAUUUUUCAUUAGUAACACAUUUUCAAUAAACAUUCUUGUAGUCAAAUCUUGGCACAAAUUCACAAUGACUGCUUUGUAAGACAUUCAAAAAUGCUACAGACACAUAGAGAUUUAUGUCCCAACAGAAAGCUUUCUGCCUUAUGCUAAGCCUCAAGGCAAAGCCAAAUGAUCAAUCUUUGAAUGGACUAUAUAUUUCCAGUACAAAGCUAGACUACAUGUAAUCAAAAUCCCAGGUUCUGCUAGCCAUCAAGAAGGUAGUUGAAACAUGAACGUAAGCCUUGGCUUGUCAAGAUGUCAUACACUAAUCACUGGUAACCACUUUGUGAAAGCCCUUGCCUCAGUGCAGGUGAAUGUCUACUGCUCGUUAGGCUUUCAGAGACAAAAA
rnacentral:lncRNA from 1 species